rnacentral:rRNA from 1 species
GCAUAUCAAUAAGCGGAGGAAAAGAAACCAACAGGGAUUGCCCUAGUAACGGCGAGUGAAGCGGCAACAGCUCAAAUUUGAAAUCUGGCUUCGGCCCGAGUUGUAAUUUGCAGAGGAUGUUUCUGGCGCGGUGCCUUCCGAGUUCCCUGGAACGGGACGCCACAGAGGGUGAGAGCCCCGUAUGGUUGGACACUAAGCCUGUGUGAAACUCCUUCGACGAGUCGAGUAGUUUGGGAAUGCUGCUCAAAAUGGGAGGUAAAUCUCUUCUAAAGCUAAAUACCGGCCAGAGACCGAUAGCGCACAAGUAGAGUGAUCGAAAGAUGAAAAGCACCUUGAAAAGGGGGUUAAACAGUACGUGAAAUUGUUGAAAGGGAAGCGCUUGUGACCAGACUUGUGCCGGGCGGUUCAUCCGGGGUUCUCCCCGGUGCACUCCGCCCGGUUCAGGCCAGCAUCGGUUUUCGUUGGGGGAUAAGAACGUCAGGAACGUGGCCCUCCUUCGGGUGGGUGUUAUAGCCUGGCGUACGAUACCCUGACGGGGACCGAGGUUCGCGCUCCGCAAGGAUGCUGGCGUAAUGGUCAUCAGCGACCCGUCUUGAAACACGGACCAAGGAGUCGUCCAUUAGAGCGAGCGUUUGGGUGUCAAACCCGCACGCGUAAUGAAAGUGAAAUUAGGUGAGAGCUUCGGCGCAUCAUCGACCGAUCCUGAUGUUCUCGGAUGGAUUUGAGUAAGAGUUUUAACGGACGGACCCGAAAGACAGUGAACUAUGCUUGUAUAGGGUGAAGCCAGAGGAAACUCUGGUGGAGGCUCGCAGCGGUUCUGACGUGCAAAUCGAUCGUCAAAUAUGAGCAUGGGGGCGAAAGACUAAUCGAACUGUCUAGUAGCUGGUUACCGCCGA